rnacentral:lncRNA from 1 species
AGAAGUUGGAAGAGGAGGUUAUUAAGAACUGCAGACUGCUGCGUGUGAGAGCCGACCGGAGAGUGCUUCGGAGGAAGGCUGUAGAAAAGGCACGCAGAGAGAAGGAAUACAUUGAGCAGUGUUCGGGUCGAGCACCUAUGUUCUGGAUCCCCCUCAGAGUACACGCUGUCUGGGAGAGGAUGGAAGUGACACUGACAUGUACAGUCCUGGCUUCCCCACUGCCACAGGUGACCUGGUAUAAAAAUGGAGUCCCCAUUGACCUCCGUUUAGCCCCAGCAGGAA